CUGUUUUCAUUAACUUGGCUUUGAUAGCAAAUCUGAGAGGUGCAAAUGUUUAGCUUGAUUUAAGUACUACAUAAUAAAAUACAUCGUUUUACAGUCAAUUUGACGGUUGUAAGUUUAGCACACUCAUUUAUAUACAUUUUUAGACUGUUUACCGUUUGACUCCUGUCCCAAUCUAACCUAGUGGGUUCAAAAAAGAAUGGACCGCGCUGGAAAAAUGAGUGAAUUAAAAGGAUCAGCCCUUUUUGAAUUAAUAGUCGAAGUGGUAACCAGCUAGAAGUCGUAACCUGCUCGUAUGAAAAGAUUUCUCGACGUGAAAUUGUUAAUUUUAUUCAACAACGCCAAGAAACAAAGCUCGCUCAUGAAACAGAAAAGAAAGAGAAAGAUGAAAAAAUAUUCUGUUGAACAAUAUUAUUAAUUUA